GCUCUCCUUCCCAUUCUUCCUCGACGGUAGUCGCCGCUGCCAUAUGGCCACGGCGACCGACAUCUCCUUCUUCCACUAUACCUCCUGGCCUCUCUCUAUUUCUUGCUUUCGAUCGCCGCUGCCCGCAUAUCCAGUAACAGCGCCUCCUCCCGCAGCGAAGCCACGGUCGCUGCCCUCAUUCUCCCAUCUCCUCACCUUCACCUCUUUCACCGACUCGACUCGACGAAAACAAGGAGUUUGCCGCUGGAACCUCCUAUACCCCCAGCGACAAGCAAGUCGCCACCGGUGACUCGACUCGACGACAACA
rnacentral:lncRNA from 1 species